rnacentral:rRNA from 1 species
GCUCAACCGAGGAAGUGCUUCGAAAACUGGUAAACUUGAGUGCAGAAGAGGAAAGUGGAACUCCAUGUGUAGCGGUGGAAUGCGUAGAUAUAUGGAAGAACACCAGUGGCGAAGGCGGCUUUCUGGUCUGUAACUGACGCUGAGAUUCGAAAGCAUGGGUAGCAAACAGGAUUAGAUACCCUGGUAGUCCAUGCCGUAAACGAUGAGUGCUAAGUGUUGGAGGGUUUCCGCCCUUCAGUGCUGCAGCUAACGCAUUAAGCACUCCGCCUGGGGAGUACGACCGCAAGGCUGAAACUCAAAGGAAUUGACGGGGGCCCGCACAAGCGGUGGAGCAUGUGGUUUAAUUCGAAGCAACGCGAAGAACCUUACCAGGUCUUGACAUACCAUGGGGGGGCUUAGAGAUAAGUCUUUCCCUUCGGGGACAUGGAUACAGGUGGUGCAUGGUUGUCGUCAGCUCGUGUCGUGAGAUGUUGGGUUAAGUCCCGCAACGAGCGCAACCCUUAUUAUCAGUUACCAGCAUUCAGUUGGGCACUCUGGUGAGACUGCCGGUGACAAACCGGAGGAAGGUGGGGACGACGUCAAAUCAUCAUGCCCCUUAUGACCUGGGCUACACACGUGCUACAAUGGUCGGUACAACG